rnacentral:tRNA from 2 species
GAGGACGUAGCUCAGUUGGUAGAGCAACGGACUUUUAAUCCGUAGGUCCUGGGUUCAAGCCCCAGCGUCCUCA